rnacentral:rRNA from 1 species
UGGGGAAUUUUGGACAAUGGGCGAAAGCCUGAUCCAGCAAUGCCGCGUGUGUGAAGAAGGCCUUCGGGUUGUAAAGCACUUUUGUCCGGAAAGAAAUCCUUGGCUCUAAUACAGUCGGGGGAUGACGGUACCGGAAGAAUAAGCACCGGCUAACUACGUGCCAGCAGCCGCGGUAAUACGUAGGGUGCAAGCGUUAAUCGGAAUUACUGGGCGUAAAGCGUGCGCAGGCGGUUUGCUAAGACCGAUGUGAAAUCCCCGGGCUCAACCUGGGAACUGCAUUGGUGACUGGCAGGCUAGAGUAUGGCAGAGGGGGGUAGAAUUCCACGUGUAGCAGUGAAAUGCGUAGAGAUGUGGAGGAAUACCGAUGGCGAAGGCAGCCCCCUGGGCCAAUACUGACGCUCAUGCACGAAAGCGUGGGGAGCAAAACAGGAUUAGAUACCCUGGUAGUCCACGCCCUAAACGAUGUCAACUAGUUGUUGGGGAUUCAUUUCCUUAGUAACGUAGCUAACGCGUGAAGUUGACCGCCUGGGGAGUACGGUCGCAAGAUUAAAACUCAAAGGAAUUGAUGGGGUCAUAGCUG